rnacentral:tRNA from 1 species
GCCGCCUUAGCUCAGUUGGUCAGAGCAGCUGAUUUGUAAUCAGCAGGUCGUCGGUUCGAAUCCGACAGGCGGCU